rnacentral:misc_RNA from 1 species
GAAAUGCGAUAAGUAAUGUGAAUUGCAGAAUUCAGUGAAUCAUCGAAUCUUUGAACGCACCUUGCGCUCCUUGGUAUUCCUUGGAGCAUGUCUGUUUGAGUAUCAUGAAAUCUUCAAAGUAAAUCUUUUGUUAACUCAAUUGGUUUCUACUUUGGUAUUGGAGGUCUUUGCAGCUUCACACCUGCUCCUCUUUGUUCAUUAGCUGGAUCUCAGUGUUAUGCUUGGUUCCACUCGGCGUGAUAAGUUAUCUAUCGCUGAGGACACUGUAAAAGGUGGCCAAGGUAAAUGCAGAUGAACCGCUUCUAAUAGUCCAUUGACUUGGACAAUACUUUUAUGAUCUGAUCUCAAAUCAGGUAGGACUACCCGCUGAACUUAGGC